UGCCAUGGCCCAGACACUGCAGAUGGA
rnacentral:piRNA from 1 species